rnacentral:misc_RNA from 1 species
GACUGACAAAUAAAAUCUUUGGUGUUCAUAACAGAUUUUAUAUUUCAAUUAUUGCUUAUGAUCAAGACUCCUCCUAAAACUUAUAAUUUGUUAUUCAACAUCUCCACUCACUAUCUCAGAUGUUCCUGGGCGAAAUUGUUCCAGUAAUUGCAUACAACAAGCAUAUAAAUAUUCUUAACCUAAAGGUAAAUAUAACAAAGAGAAGAUAAACAUAUAAUUCCAAAAAGGAAUACUAAUUAUACAGAAGUUUGAGACAUUUGUACCAAACAAACACUCUUUAUAAGGUCAAAGAGCUUUGUGAAAUAAUGCUUGUAUACA